UUAACUCAAAUUUGUAUGGAAUGGGAUCGUUUGCGUACGUUUGCCGCUUGGGAUGCUGUUCCAACUGCACAUACAAAACUGGGUUA
rnacentral:pre_miRNA from 1 species